rnacentral:rRNA from 1 species
ACCUCGGAUCAGGUAGGAAUACCCGCUGAACUUAAGCAUAUCAAUAGCCGGAGGAACAAACUUCUGAAAUGUUGACCUCGGAUCAGGUAGGAAUACCCGCUGAACUUAAGCAUAUCAAUAAGCGGAGGAA